AUCUAGCCGACGAGUUCCAAAUAAGACGAAACGUACGUCCUGGCU
rfam:Schistosoma haematobium C10065871_1, whole genome shotgun sequence.